CCUACGGGUGGCAGCAGUAGGGAAUAUUGCUCAAUGGGGGAAACCCUGAAGCAGCAACGCCGCGUGGAGGAUGAAGGUUUUCGGAUUGUAAACUCCUUUUAUUAGAGAAGAUAAUGACGGUAUCUAACGAAUAAGCACCGGCGAAAUCCGUGCCAGCAGCCGCGGUAAUACGGAGGGCGCAAGCGUUACUCGGAAUCACUGGGCGUAAAGGGCGCGUAGGCGGGAAAGCAAGUCAGAGGGGAAAUCCUCUGGCUUAACCAUAGCACGGCAGUUGAAACUGUGAUUCUAGAGUAUGGGAGAGGUAGGUGGAAUUCUUGGUGUAGCGGUGAAAUCCGUAGAGAUCAAGAGGAAUACUGAUUGCGAAGGCGACCUGCUAGAACAUAACUGACGCUGAUGCGCGAAAGCGUGGGGAGCAAACAGGAUUAGAUACCCCAGUAGUC
rnacentral:rRNA from 1 species